CCCAGCUCUAAGCUGGGCCCAUUGCGGGCCAAGGGAUCCUCCGCCUGGAGCCCCAGGUUCUGCGGUGGAUGCGAGCAUGGAGCAGGAGCACCAACUGGAGCUGGUAACGGAGCAGCAGCAGCUGGUAAUGGAACUGGUGGAACCUCCUGGAUUCCAGUCGGUGCCCAUUACCACUUGUCCUGUCCCUGGGCACCACUGACAGGAGUCUGGCCCCAGCCUCUUGCCUCCCACAGCUCCUUCAGCCAUUGCUGAGCAUUGCUCAGCUCCCUCUGGGGCUGCUCUCCUGCAGGCUCUCAGCCCCAGGGCUCUCAGCCUUUGCUCCUCCCAGAGCUGCUCCAGGCCUCAGUAUCUUUCUAGCCUCCACUGGACUCUCUCCAGUACUGCCCUGUCCCUCUUCAAAUGGGGAGUCCAGAACUGGUUCCAGAACUCCAGAUGUGGUCUCACUAGGGCUUAGUAGAGGGGGAGGAGAAUUUUGGUGCUUCCUACCCUUGGGAUGAGUGAUAACAGAACAUAGGAGAAGCAGCUCAUGAUGGACCUGUUGGUGAAGACAGGGAGGUGGGAGAUUGGCUGAAUGCCAACAGCAGGGUAGGACGGAGUCUGUGCUUCACUGAAUCUUGUCAGUCAGGUGGGACCAGAGAGGCCUGCAGACACUGAGAGAUGUGAUGCUUUUAUGCCAGCAGCUACUGAGAGGGGACCAGGAAGCUCCUUGACCCAUGUCCUCUCUUGGCUCAGGUGGUGGAAACUCCAUGUGCAAAACCCAUGCUCGAGUUUGGUUUGGUGACUUCAGUGUCUUUGCCAUCUGGCGUUCAAUGGUGCUUGGCAUGCCUGGUCCUGGCUGAGUGCUGACCUUGGGGUUAUCAAUCCAGCACUGUCUUGUGAAGUCACUGCUGAAGCCAGUGGUCAGUGCUGGCACAGGCUGUCCCCAUCCUCCUUGCAGGGGGCCUAGGAGCAGGUCUCCAGAAGAACAUCCUGAAGCACCUGGAGCUGUCAGUGCCCUUCUGGACAGCCAAGCUGUGUGCCAGAGCGUGUCUCUGUCAGGAUUGCACAAUGCCCUCUCUGCAUCUGGCACAGACCCCUCCAGUGGGAAUCUCACCAUCAGUGCUGUGGCAGAGCUGAGCAGUGAGCAGCAGCAGUGCCAGCUCAUGCCUGCGUUGAUGGAGCAGCAGACUGCUGCGGGGGAAAUGUUGACAGAGUCCAGAUGAAACCAAUACAAACAUCUCAGUCUGCCAUCAGCAAGAGGCAAAACAGUCUUGUGGAUGUAGCCAAUGCUUGAAUCAUCUCCUCUCUGUGCCAAGAGAAAGCAGUCCUACCCAAAAAACACCCAAGCCCACAGUGCAAGCAAACCCAGCACCUAUGGUUGUCCAAGGAGAGGGCAGCCUGGUACCACCAAACAACCUGUUUGUUGCAGAACAGUGGCACAGACCUGAGGCUCUGACACCUGGUGAGGUGAUUGUACUGUUUGCUUCCACAUCCCAAGGCAUCAUGACUCACACCAGCUUCACCUGCCUCAAGAAAGCUGAUCCA